rnacentral:rRNA from 1 species
CACGUAGGCGGCUCAGCCAGUGCGGAGUGAAAGCCCACGGCUCACCCGUGGAUGUGCUUCGCAUACUACUGAGCUCGAGUGCAGGAGAGGAGAGCGGAACUCUUGGUGGAGCGGUGAAAUGCGUAGAUAUCAAGAGGAACACCGAAGGCGAAGGCAGCUCUCUGGCCUGUGUCUGACGCUGAGGUGCGAAAGCCAGGGUAGCGAACG